rnacentral:rRNA from 1 species
CGUAAGCCUGACGGAGCAACGCCGCGUGAGGGAAGACGGUCUGUGGAUUGUAAACUUCUUUUCUCUGUGAAGAUAAUGACGGUACCAGAGGAAUCAGCAUCGGCUAACUCCGUGCCAGCAGCCGCGGUAAUACGGAGGAUGCGAGCGUUAUCCGGAAUGAUUGGGCGUAAAGCGUCUGCAGGUGGUCAAUCAAGUCUUAUGUUAAAGAGCGGGGCUUAACUCUGUGAGGGCAUAGGAAACUGAUGGACUAGAGUACAGUAGGGGUCACGGGAAUUCCCGGUGUAGCGGUGAAAUGCGUAGAUAUCGGGAAGAACACCAGCGGCGAAAGCGCGUGACUGGGCUGAGACUGACACUCAUGGACGAAAGCUAGGGGAGCG